rnacentral:rRNA from 1 species
GAUGAACGCUAGCGGGAGGCUUAACACAUGCAAGUCGAGGGGCAGCAUAGGGUAGCAAUACUCUGAUGGCGACCGGCAAAACGGGUGAGUAACGCGUAUGCAACCUACCCUGUACAGGGGGAUAACCCGGAGAAAUUCGGACUAAUAUCCCGUAAUAAUAUCCGGAGGCAUCUUUGGAUAUUUAAAGUUCCGACGGUACGGGAUGGGCAUGCGUAACAUUAGCUGGUUGGUAAGGUAACGGCUUACCAAGGCUAUGAUGUUUAGGGGUCCUGAGAGGGUGGUCCCCCACACUGGUACUGAGACACGGACCAGACUCCUACGGGAGGCAGCAGUGAGGAAUAUUGGUCAAUGGGCGCAAGCCUGAACCAGCCAUCCCGCGUGCAGGAGACGGCCCUAUGGGUUGUAAACUGCCUUUCCAGGGAGAGAAACUUACGCACGUGUUGCGUGACUGACGGUACCCUGGGAAUAAGCAUCGGCUAACUCCGUGCCAGCAGCCGCGGUAAAAGUGUGUGUAC